UGGGGAAUUUCGGACAAUGGGGGAAACCCUGAUCCAGCCAUCCCGCGUGUGCGAUGAAGGCCUUCGGGUUGUAAAGCACUUUUGGCAGGAAAGAAACGUCAUGGGUUAAUACCCCGUGAAACUGACGGUACCUGCAGAAUAAGCACCGGCUAACUACGUGCCAGCAGCCGCGGUAAUACGUAGGGUGCAAGCGUUAAUCGGAAUUACUGGGCGUAAAGCGUGCGCAGGCGGUUCGGAAAGAAAGAUGUGAAAUCCCAGAGCUCAACUUUGGAACUGCAUUUUUAACUACCGGGCUAGAGUGUGUCAGAGGGAGGUGGAAUUCCGCGUGUAGCAGUGAAAUGCGUAGAUAUGCGGAGGAACACCGAUGGCGAAGGCAGCCUCCUGGGAUAACACUGACGCUCAUGCACGAAAGCGUGGGGAGCAAACAGG
rnacentral:rRNA from 1 species